UACGAAGGGGGCUAGCGUUGUUCGGAAUCACUGGGCGUAAAGCGCACGUAGGCGGAUCGCUAAGUCGGGGGUGAAAUCCCGAGGCUCAACCUCGGAACUGCCUUCGAUACUGGCGAUCUUCGAGUCCGGGAGAGGUGAGUGGAACUCCGAGUGUAGAGGUGAAAUUCGUAGAUAUUCGGAAGAAACACCAGUGGCGAAGGCGGCUCACUGGCCCCGGUACUGACGACUGAG
rnacentral:rRNA from 1 species